CAAUUGAGUGAAUAAGUCUUUCUCAAGAGAGUAUACUUAGUGACCAGAAAGGAAGGGCAGACGUCCUGUUGGAUUUUAGAAUUCAGGUUAGUGCACAAGUCAAGACGGCUACCUCAAGGCACUAACCAGGAAGAGAAUGAACAGGUGCUGGCCAGGGCACCAUACCAGCAGGAAAUCAGCCAAUGCACGCCUAUGCCAGAGAAUCCGCAAUGGGAGGAGGUAGGAGGAGAUACUGCAGCGAGGAUAGGACUCGCCUCUGAUGAGUGAUAAAAUAUAAAAAGGACGUGCAGAUGGCCACCAUGAUGGUUAU